rnacentral:lncRNA from 1 species
AAGGCCUCCCUAUAACCCUAAAAACAAUAUGUUGAAGACAGACCUCAGCCUCCCCUCCUGCGCCGUUUCGACUCGACGUCUUAAAGCUUUCAAACCUCGCCUCAGCUCCGAUGACUGAGGAGAGGGCAAUAGUUUGGCUACCAGGUACGUUUCUCCCAUUCCUUUUAUUAUUCCUCUUAACAAGCAACUGAUAAACACGAAAAUCGAAAAAAAGAAAGAAAAGAAAACCAAAACUAAUAACCAGCAAGAUUAGAAAG